rnacentral:miRNA from 1 species
UAUGACACUCAAUGCGAGAUGGG